ensembl:lncRNA
CCCCACCCCUCAUGCGUCACGCUCUGUCUGCACGACAUCUGGCCCGGGUCUGGCCUCCAGGACCAGCCCUGGGCAGGACAGCCACCUCUGCACAGAGGCUGACAGCAACCCCCCAGGGUGUCCCGGGCCAGCGGCUGACGCCGGCAGAGACCUGCUCCUGGAAGAGCCUGACCGCGGGGCACAGGGCCUUUCCUGGGAAGGAAGGAGUGACGGUUCUCAGCGCUUCCAGGGACCAAAGCCAGACCCACGCUGACUGGGCAGGAGACAGAAGGAACCCGCUUCCGUGCAGGUGGCCAGCGGCUCUGCCUUCUCUCCAGGCCCUGGAUCCCAAGC